rnacentral:rRNA from 1 species
UACGUAGGGUGCGAGCGUUAAUCGGAAUUACUGGGCGUAAAGCGUGCGUAGGCGGUUCUCCAAGUCCGUUGUGAAAGCCCCGGGCUCAACCUGGGAAUGGCAGUGGAAACUAGGGGACUGGAAUCUGGCGGAGGGGGGUGGAAUGCCGCGUGUAGCAGUGAAAUGCGUAGAGAUGCGGCGGAACACCGAUGGCGAAGGCAGCCCCCUGGGCUGAGAUUGACGCUCAGGCACGAAAGCGUGGGGAGCAAACAGG